rnacentral:rRNA from 1 species
GAUGAACGCUAGCUACAGGCUUAACACAUGCAAGUCGAGGGGAAACGACAUCGAAAGCUUGCUUUUGAUGGGCGUCGACCGGCGCACGGGUGAGUAACGCGUAUCCAACCUGCCCACCACUUGGGGAUAACCUUGCGAAAGUAAGACUAAUACCCAAUGAUAUCUCUAGAAGACAUCUGAAAGAGAUUAAAGAUUUAUCGGUGAUGGAUGGGGAUGCGUCUGAUUAGCUUGUUGGCGGGGUAACGGCCCACCAAGGCGACGAUCAGUAGGGGUUCUGAGAGGAAGGUCCCCCACAUUGGAACUGAGACACGGUCCAAACUCCUACGGGAGGCAGCAGUGAGGAAUAUUGGUCAAUGGACGAGAGUCUGAACCAGCCAAGUAGCGUGCAGGAUGACGGCCCUAUGGGUUGUAAACUGCUUUUAUAAGGGAAUAAAAGUGAGAGUCGUGACUCUUUUUGCAUGUACCUUAUGAAUAAGGACCGGCUAAUUCCGUGCCAGCAGCCG